rnacentral:rRNA from 1 species
AAUAUUGGACAAUAGGGGCAACACUGAUCCAGCCAUGCCGCGUGUGUGAAGAAGGUGUUCGGAUUGUAAAGCACUUUAAGUUGGGAGGAAGGGCAUUAGGAUAAUACCCGGAAGUUUUGACGUUACCAACAGAAUAAGCACCGGCUAACACUGUGCCAGCAGCCGCGGUAAUACGGAGGGUGCAAGCGUUAAUCGGAAUUACUGGGCGUAAAGCGCGCGUAGGUGGUUCAGUAAGAUGGGUGUGAAAUCCCCGGGCUUAACCUGGGAACUGCUUUCCUAACUGCUGAGCUAGAGUACGGUAGAGGGUAGUGGAAUUUCCUGUGUAGCGGUGAAAUGCGUAGAUAUAGGAAAGAACACCAGUGGCGAAGGCGACUACCUGGACUGAUACUGACACUGAGGUGCGAAAGCGUGGGGAGCAAAC